UACGUAGGGUGCAAGCGUUGUCCGGAAUUAUUGGGCGUAAAGAGCUCGUAGGCGGUUUGUCGCGUCUGCUGUGAAAACCCGAGGCUCAACCUCGGGCCUGCAGUGGGUACGGGCAGACUAGAGUGCGGUAGGGGAGAUUGGAAUUCCUGGUGUAGCGGUGGAAUGCGCAGAUAUCAGGAGGAACACCGAUGGCGAAGGCAGAUCUCUGGGCAUUAACUGACGCUGAGGAGCGAAAAGCAUGGGGGAGCGAACAGG
rnacentral:rRNA from 1 species